GGUCUAAUACCGAAUACACCCUGCUGGCUGCAUGGCCUGGUGGGGGAAAGCUUUUGCGGUGUGGGAUGGGCCCGCGGCCUAUCAGCUUGUUGGUGGGGUGAUGGCCUACCAAGGCGACGACGGGUAGCCGGCCUGAGAGGGUGACCGGCCACACUGGGACUGAGAUACGGCCCAGACUCCUACGGGAGGCAGCAGUGGGGAAUAUUGCACAAUGGGCGCAAGCCUGAUGCAGCGACGCCGCGUGAGGGAUGACGGCCUUCGGGUUGUAAACCUCUUUCAGUAGGGACGAAGCGCAAGUGACGGUACCUAUAGAAGAAGGACCGGCCAACUACGUGCCAGCAGCCGCGGUAAUACGUAGGGUCCGAGCGUUGUCCGGAAUUACUGGGCGUAAAGAGCUCGUAGGUGGUUUGUCGCGUUGUUCGUGAAAACUCACAGCUCAACUGUGGGCGUGCGGGCGAUACGGGCAGACUAGAGUACUGCAGGGGAGACUGGAAUUCCUGGUGUAGCGGUGGAAUGCGCAGAUAUCAGGAGGAACACCGGUGGCGAAGGCGGGUCUCUGGGCAGUAACUGACGCUGAGGAGCGAAAGCGUGGGGAGCGAACAGGAUUAGAUACCCUGGUAGUCCACGCCGUAAACGGUGGGUACUAGGUGUGGGUUUCCUUCCUUGGGAUCCGUGCCGUAGCUAACGCAUUAAGUACCCCGCCUGGGGAGUACGGCCGCAAGGCUAAAACUCAAAGAAAUUGACGGGGGCCCGCACAAGCGGCGGAGCAUGUGGAUUAAUUCGAUGCAACGCGAAGAACCUUACCUGGGUUUGACAUGCACAGGACGCUGGUAGAGAUAUCAGUUCCCUUGUGGCCUGUGUGCAGGUGGUGCAUGGCUGUCGUCAGCUCGUGUCGUGAGAUGUUGGGUUAAGUCCCGCAACGAGCGCAACCCUUGUCUCAUGUUGCCAGCACGUAAUGGUGGGGACUCGUGAGAGACUGCCGGGGUCAACUCGGAGGAAGGUGGGGAUGACGUCAAGUCAUCAUGCCCCUUAUGUCCAGGGCUUCACACAUGCUACAAUGGCCGGUACAAAGGGCUGCGAUGCCGUGAGGUGGAGCGAAUCCUUUAAAGCCGGUCUCAGUUCGGAUCGGGGUCUGCAACUCGACCCCGUGAAGUCGGAGUCGCUAGUAAUCGCAGAUCAGCAACGCUGCGGUGAAUACGUUCCCGGGCCUUGUACACACCGCCCGUCACGUCAUGAAAGUCGGUAACACCCGAAGCCGGUGGCCUAACCCCUCGGGGAGGGAGCCGUCGAAGGUGGGAUCGGCGAUUGGGACGAAGUCGUAACAAGGUAGCCGUACCGGAAGGUGCGGCUGGAUCACCUCCUUUCUAA
rnacentral:rRNA from 1 species